rnacentral:rRNA from 1 species
CCUACGGGAGGCAGCAGUGGGGGAUAUUGCACAAUGGGGGAAACCCUGAUGCAGCGACGCCGCGUGGGCGAAGAAGUAUUUCGGUAUGUAAAGCCCUAUCAGCAGGGAAGAAGAAAUGACGGUACCUGAGUAAGAAGCACCGGCUAAAUACGUGCCAGCAGCCGCGGUAAUACGUAUGGUGCAAGCGUUAUCCGGAUUUACUGGGUGGAAAGGGAGCGCAGGCGGCACGGCAAGCCUGAUGUGAAAGCCCGCGGCCCAACCGCGGGACUGCAUUGGGAACUACCGGGCUGGAGUGCCGGAGAGGUAGGCGGAAUUCCUAGUGUAGCGAUGAAAUGCGUAGAUAUUAGGAGGAACACCAGUGGCGAAGGCGGCCUACUUGACGGUGACUGACGCUGAGGCUCGAAAGCGUGGGGAGCAAACAGGAUUAGAUACCCGGGUAGUC